AUGAACGCUGGUGGCGUGCUUAACACAUGCAAGUCGAACGAUGAAGCCCAGCUUGCUGGGUGGAUUAGUGGCGAACGGGUGAGUAACACGUGAGUAACCUGCCCUUAACUCUGGGAUAAGCCUGGGAAACUGGGUCUAAUACCGGAUAGGAGCGUCCACCGCAUGGUGGGUGUUGGAAAGAUUUAUCGGUUUUGGAUGGACUCGCGGCCUAUCAGCUUGUUGGUGAGGUAAUGGCUCACCAAGGCGACGACGGGUAGCCGGCCUGAGAGGGUGACCGGCCACACUGGGACUGAGACACGGCCCAGACUCCUACGGGAGGCAGCAGUGGGGAAUAUUGCACAAUGGGCGCAAGCCUGAUGCAGCGACGCCGCGUGAGGGAUGACGGCCUUCGGGUUGUAAACCUCUUUCAGUAGGGAAGAAGCGAAAGUGACGGUACCUGCAGAAGAAGCACCGGCUAACUACGUG
rnacentral:rRNA from 1 species